UACGUAGGGUGCGAGCGUUGUCCGGAAUUAUUGGGCGUAAAGCGCGUGUAGGCGGCUUUGCAAGUCGGGUGUGAAAGCCCUCAGCUCAACUGAGGAAGGGCGCCCGAAACUGCAGAGCUUGAGUACCGGAGAGGGUGGCGGAAUUCCCCAAGUAGAGGUGAAAUUCGUAGAUAUGGGGAGGAACACCGGUGGCGAAGGCGGCCACCUGGACGGUCACUGACGCUGAGACGCGAAAGCGUGGGUAGCAAACAGG
rnacentral:rRNA from 1 species